UUUCCCAAGAUGAUAGCUUUCAUAUCUAGACAUGCAUGAAGCAUGGUUAUUAAACCAGCAAGAGCCAUCGGUGAUAACAAGAAACGAUCAGAAUGAUAUGGAUUCAGAGUCAAUAAGCCCUUUCCCAAAUGUACAAGACCUUGAGCAAUUCGCACACAGAACAGAAGGCUAGCAUCUUUGUAGUAAUAGCUUGAAAGAUUGCGAAGCAUGCCAGCAAUUCUGGCAUUAUUGGUUCCUGCACCUAUCAAACCUAAGGAAAUAACUGCAGCCAUUGCAACUUCUGAAUCUGCAUCAUGGCUAAGUCUGCUUAAUGUGUCCAUAACAUUAACCUUUGGGUUUGAUAUGCAAAGGAGACCAAG
rnacentral:misc_RNA from 1 species